CCUACGGGAGGCAGCAGUGAGGAAUAUUGGACAAUGGGCGCAAGCCUGAUCCAGCCAUGCCGCGUGCAGGAAGACGGUCCUAUGGAUUGUAAACUGCUUUUGUACAGGAAGAAACACUCCCUCGUGAGGGAGCUUGACGGUACUGUAAGAAUAAGGAUCGGCUAACUCCGUGCCAGCAGCCGCGGUAAUACGGAGGAUCCAAGCGUUAUCCGGAAUCAUUGGGUUUAAAGGGUCCGUAGGCGGUUUAAUAAGUCAGUGGUGAAAUCUGGUCGCUCAACGAUCAAACGGCCAUUGAUACUGUUAGACUUGAAUUAUUAGGAAGUAACUAGAAUAUGUAGUGUAGCGGUGAAAUGCUUAGAUAUUACAUGGAAUACCAAUUGCGAAGGCAGGUUACUACUAAUGGAUUGACGCUGAUGGACGAAAGCGUGGGGAGCGAACAGGAUUAGAUACCCUGGUAGUCCACGCCGUAAACGAUGGAUACUAGCUGUUGGGCGCAAGUUCAGUGGCUAAGCGAAAGUGAUAAGUAUCCCACCUGGGGAGUACGUUCGCAAGAAUGAAACUCAAAAGGAAUUAGACGG
rnacentral:rRNA from 1 species